rnacentral:lncRNA from 1 species
GGUAAUAUGCAGACAAGCCUUACCCCUACCCGAAAGGGCAGAGAGGCUGUUUCCAAUCGACCACCGGCUCAUAGAAUAAAAGGAAAAACAGCAAUAAAACAAAAACAAAAACAAAAACAAAAACAAUAAAGUAUUAGUAACUCCAGCAGAAAUAGCGUAAAUAAUUAUCUAAAUAUACGAAACAUAAAUACAAUCGCAUGCAAUAAUAUCUUACAGUAACUACCAUAAC